UACGUAGGUGGCGAGCGUUGUCCGGAUUUACUGGGCGUAAAGGGAGCGUAGGCGGACUUUUAAGUGAGAUGUGAAAUACCCGGGCUCAUCUUGGGUGCUGCAUUUCAAACUGGAAGUCUAGAGUGCAGGAGAGGAGAAUGGAAUUCCUAGUGUAGCGGUGAAAUGCGUAGAGAUUAGGAAGAACACCAGUGGCGAAGGCGAUUCUCUGGACUGUAACUGACGCUGAGGCUCGAAAGCGUGGGGAGCAAACAGGAUUAGAUA
rnacentral:rRNA from 1 species